rnacentral:misc_RNA from 1 species
UUUCCGUAGGUGAACCUGCGGAAGGACCAUUAUUGAGUUUUGAAACUUCAGGCUGCUGCUGGCUCUCCUCGGAGGGUAUGUGCACGCUUGUUGUCCAUUACUUCUCCCACUGUGCACAAAUUGUAGACCUUUCAGUAGGCCUAUGUUGUUUUUUACAAUCUCUGAAUGUAAUAGAAUGGUUUUGAAUCUUGGGAAAUAAAAUACAACUUUCAGCAACGGAUCUCUUGGCUCUC